GUUGCGGUGGCCGAGUGGUUAAGGCGUUGGACUAGAAAUCCAAUGGGAUCUUCCCGCGCAGGUUCGAAUCCUUCCCGCAACG
rnacentral:tRNA from 2 species